UACGAAGGGGGCUAGCGUUGUUCGGAAUCACUGGGCGUAAAGGGCGCGUAGGCGGUUUGGUAAGUUAGGAGUGAAAUGCCAGGGCUUAACCUUGGAACUGCUCUUAAAACUGCCAGGCUAGAGUAUGGGAGAGGAUGGUGGAAUUCCUAGUGUAGAGGUGAAAUUCGUAGAUAUUAGGAGGAACACCGGUGGCGAAGGCGACCAUCUGGACCAUUACUGACGCUGAGGCGCGAAAGCGUGGGGAGCAAACAGG
rnacentral:rRNA from 1 species